GAACAGGACUCAGUUGAGAAAACUAGGGUUCAUGAUAUGGAAGAUUUAAACAAUGUACACACUUGCAUGGAAUAGUCUCAUCUCUUGCUAUAACCAAUGUUAUGAAGAAUCUUCAAUAAAUAGAGAAAAAAAUGAUCAAUUUCCUAUCAAAGGGGUUUAAGUUGGUGCAAUCAUUCCUCUAUAAGAUAUUUUUCUACAGAAGUCAUCUCAGGUGAAAGAUUGGUUGAUAUUUGAGACAAUACAUCGAUCUAGUGUUGCUGUUAAAGAACUAUAUGUCCUACCAAUUGUUGGGAUUGGGGAUCUAGGUAAAACAACACUUGACCAAAUGGUCUUCAAUGAUGACAAUGUUACUAAGCAGACGAAUUUGAUGUUAUCACUUGAGGAAUUUGGAAACCUCAGUAUUAAUAAUUCACUACAGAGAUUGAUUUUCAUGGAUUGUCAUAAGUAGGUGUCCUCAAAAGAAGAAGAAGACGAUGUUAUCGGGUUGUCAGAUAUUAUUCCAUAUUGAGGA